GAAGCAGGUGAGGUCCUCAAAUGUCUGGGAGAAACAGUUCAGGGGCUCUGUGCCCAAGGCCAGCAAGAAGACAUCUGAGAACAGAGUUGUUCCAUACGGGUUAUAGGCUACGUUUGUUCAUUUCUAUGAAGAAAGCAAGUGAGCUCCAGACAGAGGCGUGCAAGUCUAUAGAUCACAUGUGAAGUCUCAUGAGACACCAAUAUCACCUGCCUUCCAGGUUGUUAAUCAGAGGACAUCGAUCACUUCAUCCGACAGGCAACGCUUCACUUUCACCCAGUCCCUGCAUAAUCCCUGUUCCACAGUGCAGCCAGAGUGAUGCUUCCAACACAAAAAUGCCAGCUUUGGACCCGUGGGCAGCUCAGUGGGCUACAGCACUUCCUGCACAUCCCAAGACACCCAACUUUCAUCCCAGAACCCAAGUGAAGUGGAAAGAGAGAACAAGCCCCACAGACGGUCCUCUGACCUCCACACACUCGCUGUGGCGCACUUGCCCACACAGGUAUCAGGCGCGCACACACAGUAAUGAUAAAAAAUGGAUGAAAUACAAAUCUGAUCCAGACACACUUACUGACAGCCCCUAAAGAGUGUUCUUUUUUAAUCUUAUGUGCACGUGUGUGUAAGCCAUGUGUGUGUCGGUACUUAACGGGGUCCAGGAGAGGUAUUGAAUCCCUGGAAUGGGAAUUCUAAGUAGCUAGGAGCUGCUGUGAUGGCGAUGGGAAUGUGAAUUUAGGUCCUCUGAGCCAUCUCUCCAGCCCUCUUUUUUUCUUUUCUCUUUUCAUUUUGUUUUCAGUAGCUGCUCUUGAGGACGUGACCCAUGUCCUUAAGGCUAUCACUAAAGCUCGGGCUGGCCUAGCCUCUGUCACGAUGUUCAUGGAAUAAUGUUUUCUUUGUUCUGGCCUUAUGACGCUAUGUUCUGAUCCUGAACACAUCACCAGACACUGGUGCUAAGAUCUCUUUCUCCAGGGAACUCCUGCUUCCUCUCUGUGCCCAAAUUAAUACAUUAUUCUUGCUUCAAAUGCUUUCCUGGUUCCGUCUCUUGUUCUACAUUCCCCAGGUCGCUCUUACAGUAUGGACUACCCACCUCUGGAUUUUACUGUAUGUUACACAUCUGCCACCUGUCAAGGACAUCCUCAUCUACAGAGUCCGCCAUCGUCAGAUAGCACUUAGCUACUACGUACAGGGCCCAGGCUUUCGGAAGACCUGAUUUGACACCAGCAACGACGAGGUAUGUAUAAUCAACCCCAUUUCUCAGAGGAGAAAAACAGGCUCAGAGAGGUUAAAUGGUGUGAGGAAGGCCACACAGGCAAUAUGUGGCACACAAGCACCUGAGCUCCAGUCUGUCAGUCUAGGAUCUGUGGUGUUAACUACACGGUCACAGUGGGUUGUUCAUCUGAUUCAUUGGGGAGAAAAAGAUUACACCUGUUUCCUAAGACCCUGUAGAGACAGCUGAGAACUCCCAUGAGCAAUCAAAGGGAAAGCAAGUCAGACAGACCACACACCACGGGAGUGUGGGUGGGGAUGAGGAAGGGACUCCCUUUCAGCUAGGAGAGGAACACCUCCCCCAGUACCACUCCAAAGGAAUUUACCUCAUCUGGCUGAGGUUGGAGGGCCUCUGCCUCUCUCCUUUUAGACCAAUUAGCUGGUUGUAAGCUGGUGACCUGCCAGAGAAGGGCUGCCUAGAAGUCAAAAGUGAGAGGAACACAAGUCCUCCAAAUCCAGCCACCAUCUCUCUGGGGCAGAAUGUCACUUGGAGCUAAACUGUGCUUCAGCCAAUCCUGGCAUAGACCGUGUUGGGGCAGAGCAAAGACUCUGAGGCUGGGGUGACUCCCCAUAGAUGCAGGGAGACAUCCUGGUGAGGAGGUUGGGAAGCAGGUAGGGGACCAAAGAGAAACUGUACCGUGAUUGGGAUGGAGGUGGGGACUGGUAGCAUGUGUGGUGUAUGUGGCCAAAGGGUCCUCCAGAACACCUAGUGCCCUGACGUAAGGG
rnacentral:sRNA from 1 species